UACGGAGGGUGCAAGCGUUAUCCGGAUUCACUGGGUUUAAAGGGUGCGUAGGUGGGCUUGUAAGUCAGUGGUGAAAUCUCCGGGCUUAACUCGGAAACUGCCAUUGAUACUAUUUGUCUUGAAUACUGUGGAGGUCAGCGGAAUAUGUCAUGUAGCGGUGAAAUGCUUAGAUAUGACAUAGAACACCAAUUGCGAAGGCGGCUGGCUACACAAAUAUUGACACUGAGGCACGAAAGCGUGGGGAUCAAACAGG
rnacentral:rRNA from 1 species